UACGAAGGGUGCAAGCGUUAAUCGGAAUUACUGGGCGUAAAGCGUGCGUAGGCGGCCUGUUAAGUCUGCUGUGAAAGCCUCGGGCUCAACCUGGGAACUGCAGUGGAUACUGAUGGGCUAGAGUGUGAUAGAGGAUGGUGGAAUUCCCGGUGUAGCGGUGAAAUGCGUAGAGAUCGGGAGGAACAUCAGUGGCGAAGGCGGCCAUCUGGAUCAACACUGACGCUGAGGCACGAAAGCGUGGGGAGCAAACAGG
rnacentral:rRNA from 1 species